GAGGCGCGGCUGCUGGAUCUCCACUGCUCUUUGGCUCUUUGCUUCCCUGGUACUACCUAGUAGAAAAUGCGCAUCUGAACGGCAGGCAGCGCCAGCGAUAUACACCUCAUUCAAUUCAUCAGCAGGUGAAAAAGAGGCAAAAAGAAAGAGAAAACAGCCGAAACGCCUUCCCCUCCCUGCGCCGCUUUCCGCUACGCCCGGUCCACGCAGCGGAGCCGUGGGCCUGUAGGGGACUCGGUGCUGGUACGUCAUGUCAGCCGCCGAGCCGUUUCCUCGCUCACUGCUGGUGCUGCUGCGCCUCGACGCCGCCGCCAACGGCAACGCCGGCGAGGAGCCACCGGUCCAUGGGCACGCACUGCGCCUUGUGCGCGCGCUUCCAGUCCAGCGCCUGGCACGCGCGGGAGCAGUAGUUGGCCGCGCCGCACACGGAGCACCGCCGGAACUCGUGCCGCCGCGUCUCGCGCCGCCCGCACCGCACGUGGGAGCAAAGACGGAGCUCCGCGCCGUCUCCGUCGCCGUCCACGCCGCUGCCGUCGCCGUCCUUCUUCCCGCCCGCCUGGGCGGCGCAGCGGGAGGCCCACCAGUCCACCAUGAACUGGUUCGCCGCGUGGGGCUCCGCCUCGGGGAGGCUCCACCCGAAGUCGGACAGGAGGGGGCACCCCCCGCCGCCGCCGACGACGCCGGCGGCCGCGGCGAAGGGCAGCGCGGCGACGGCGUGGCGCGAGGCGGCCG
rnacentral:misc_RNA from 1 species